GUUGUUAUAUAUAAAGUGGGUUUUUAAAAUAAACACAAUAACAUGUUUGGAAGACGUUUCUGUAAGAUAAUGUCCUUCUCAAGAUCCAAUUUGGCUUGCGUGCCCCCUGGGAAUUGAACAGGCUCGAUUUUUCCAGAUGAAUUUAAAAGACAAAUUCGGUUUUCUUGUGAUGAAAGGUCUGCAAUGUCCACUUCUCCCACAAGGGGGCAGCGCACCACUGGUUCUUCAGCUACAAGGACGGCCUGGGAUUCGGAUCACGCUGCUGGAGGAGGGCCUCCUCAGGGGAAGACAAUCCACUGCCAGUCAAGAAGAGGCGCGCCUGAUGUGUCUCGGCAUCGUUGAAUUUCAUGUCUCACGAACCCUGCGUAUUUGCCAGAAGUUUUUUGGCUGUUCUCAUGCAGAAAAGGAUGAAAUCAUUUUGUGUGUUGGACAGCCCUUAUAUUCCUAGAAAAAAGAAUUUAUUUUUCCUGUAUAUAUACAAAGUGUAUCCAGCUAAAUCAUAACAAAAGUGAUUUUAAGCAGGUACCAAGACACGCCAGAUCAUAAAGACACUGUUCUCCCUUCAAGCUCCUUUUAUGAGUUUAUGGACACGCAUGAGAUAUGACGGUUCGGCCUCGAACAGGCACACUGGACGAUGAGUUGAAAGAUACAUCAUGAGACUGGUGGGGAAAGAAGACACAGGGCAGCAAGUGCCUGGUCACCAUGGAGCUGCUAGAGCAGCCAGACUGCCUACCUAGAUUUUGAUGAGAGACAUUUAAAAAAAUCCGUAUUUUGGGCUUUUGGUUACCUGCAGCUGAACUUAACCCUAAUCAAUAAUAGCAAUGCCUUCAGAAAACAGGCCAGAGGUUUCCCUAAGGCCUGGAUGCAUUAUUUUUAAAUACUGUCAAUGCCUGUCUCUAAUUCCACUCUCUCACAAAGACUUCAAAACAGUUAACUACACAGAACCUCAGACAAAUGGACAUAAAGAAGGUUCUCAGCUGGCAAAUCCAGGCAUUUUGGUACCUAAGGGUUCAUCCCUCACUACCUAUGAAUGAAAUGCCAUUUUGGUUUUUGCAUCAGUUUGGUUUACAUGAUCUAGUGCUGGAGAGCCUCAUUAUUUCUUGACAUACUGAAAUGCACGGCAAAGGAUUGGGGGAGAG